rnacentral:rRNA from 1 species
AACGCGAAGAACCUUACCAGGUCUUGACAUCCCUCUGAAUACGUUAGAGAUAGCGUAGGCCUUCGGGACAGAGGAGACAGGUGGUGCAUGGUUGUCGUCAGCUCGUGUCGUGAGAUGUUGGGUUAAGUCCCGCAACGAGCGCAACCCUUGAAUUCAGUUGCCAGCAGGUAAGGCUGGGCACUCUGAAUUGACUGCCGGUGACAAACCGGAGGAAGGUGGGGAUGACGUCAAAUCAUCAUGCCCCUUAUGACCUGGGCUACACACGUACUACAAUGGUCGGUACAACGGGAAGCGAAGCCGCGAGGUGGAGCCAAUCCUAGAAAAGCCGGUCUCAGUUCGGAUUGCAGGCUGCAACUCGCCUGCAUGAAGUCGGAAUUGCUAGUAAUCGCGGAUCAGCAUGCCGCGGUGAAUACGUUCCCGGGCCUUGU